UGGCGACCGGCGCACGGGUGAGUAACACGUAUCCAACCUGCCGAUGACUCGGGGAUAGCCUUUCGAAAGAAAGAUUAAUACCCGAUGGCAUAGUUCUUCCGCAUGGUAGAACUAUUAAAGAAUUUCGGUCAUCGAUGGGGAUGCGUUCCAUUAGCUUAUUGGCGGGGUAACGGCCCACCAAGGCAUCGAUGGAUAGGGGUUCUGAGAGGAAGGUCCCCCACAUUGGAACUGAGACACGGUCCAAACUCCUACGGGAGGCAGCAG
rnacentral:rRNA from 1 species